rnacentral:SRP_RNA from 1 species
UUUUGGUCGCCUAACAAUGCUAGGUGGCAAACCCCGCCAGGUCCGGAAGGAAGCAACGGUAGCUAUUGAUGCAGGUGUUAGCCACGGCUAAGAAUG